UACGAAGGGGGCUAGCGUUGCUCGGAAUUACUGGGCGUAAAGCGCACGUAGGCGGCUUUCUAAGUCGGGGGUGAAAUCCUGGAGCUCAACUCCAGAACUGCCUUUGAUACUGCAAAUCUCGAGUCCGAUAGAGGUGGGUGGAAUUCCUAGUGUAGAGGUGAAAUUCGUAGAUAUUAGGAAGAACACCGGUGGCGAAGGCGGCCCACUGGAUCGGUACUGACGCUGAGGUGCGAAAGCGUGGGGAGCAAACAGG
rnacentral:rRNA from 1 species